UGAAUACGAGAUACUACGGUGUCGAAGCAGUCUAUGUCAUACUUCCAAGAAAAGCUUGCACUGUCAUAAACAAAUAAUGCCUGUGCCAUAACCGACACAGGUGGGUAGGUAGAGUAUACUAAGGGGCGCGAGAUAACUCUCUCUAAGGAACUCGGCAAAAUGACUCCGUAACUUCGGGAGAAGGAGUGCCUUAUAUUUAUAAGGUUGCAAUAACAAGAUCCAAGCAACUGUUUAUCAAAAACACAGGUCUCCGCUAAGUCGUAAGACGAUGUAUGGGGGCUGACGCCUGCCCAGUGCCAGAAGGUUAAAGAAGUUGGUUAGCUUUUGCGAAGCUGAUAACUGAAGCCCUGGUGAACGGCGGCCGUAACUAUAACGGUCCUAAGGUAGCGAAAUUCCUUGUCGGGUAAGUUCCGACCCGCAUGAAAGCGUAAUGAUUUGGAUACUGUCUCGGAGAGGGACUCGGUGAAAUAGACUUGUCUGUGAAGAUGCGGACUACUUGCACCAGGACAGAAAGACCCUAUGAAGCUUUACUGUAACCUGAAAUUGAAAUUGGACUUUACUUGCGCAGGAUAGGUGGGAGGCUUUGAGAAUAUUCUUGCGGGAAUAUUGGAGCCAUCAGUGAGAUACCACUCUGGUAAUGUUAGAUUUCUAACUUUGUAUCAUUAUCUGGUCAAAGAACAGUUUCAGGCGGGCAGUUUGACUGGGGCGGUCGCCUCCUAAACGGUAACGGAGGCGCACAAAGGUUUCCUCUGAACGGGUAGAAAUCGUAUCUAGAGUGUAAAGGCAUAAGGAAGCUUGACUGUGAGACCUACAAGUCGAGCAGGGACGAAAGUCGGUCUUAGUGAUCUGACGGUGCUGAGUGGAAAGGCCGUCACUCAACGGAUAAAAGUUACUCUAGGGAUAACAGGCUGAUCUCCCCCAAGAGUUCACAUCGACGGGGAGGUUUGGCACCUCGAUGUCGGCUCAUCGCAUCCUGGGGCGGUAGUACGUCCCAAGGGUUGGGCUGUUCGCCCAUGAAAGCGGUACGCGAGCUGGGUUCAGAACGUCGUGAGACAGUUCGGUCCAUAUCCGGUGUAAGCGUUAGAAUAUUGAGAGGAGCCUUCUUUAGUACGAGAGGACCGAGAAGGAUGCACCGCUGGUGUACCAGUUAUUGUGCCAACAGUAAACGCUGGGUAGCUAUGUGUGGAGUGGAUAACCGCUGAAAGCAUCUAAGUGGGAAGCCCACCUCAAGAUAAG
rnacentral:rRNA from 1 species